UCUUAUUCCUGUGGAUUCAGGAUUAUACAAUGUGUAUGCAUCAAGUAUGAGAACACUGAUUAUUUCUGGAGAAAAUAAACUGAUUCAGGGGGCAACUGGCAGCUGAUAUCUGUGCCAGCAGAUAUCAGCUGAGCAUCAACAGCUGCUGCAGAUUUUUUUAUGCAGGACAGACCUCUGAGAGAGCUCGUGAAACACACAAGGAGCCACUUUAACUCCUGUCAGGAACUGAAUCAAGUCUCCAGCUGUCAGAAGUCAUCAUCUUUGGCUGCUUGGAGUUUCAUCAAACUAAACCUCUCCCUCAGGAGGCUUCCUGAAGAUUCCCAUUUUUCACACUUAGACUUGUCAAAGUGUUUGUGUCUAUCCGUAUCCUGUAAAAAGCAACAUUUGGUCAGCAUGCACGUUGAGGCAGGACAUCCAGGCCACAAAGUCAACUUGAACGUGACUUCCUGAGAUCUUGGUAGUGUGAAUAUGAUUUCAUCUGAUCACAAAGAGCUGACACUGAACCAGAGAUCACUCAUCUGAAUUAUAAGCUGAUGGAGCCGGCUGCAGAAGCUCACUAUGAUGGGAUGAUACUCUGCUGCCAUCUUGUGUCUCGAGCAGAUGUGCGACGGAGAUUUUCAUUUUGAAGGUGAAAUAUUCAUGGACAUCCCUGGAGAAGACGUGACCUUGAAGGCAGCAUAUGUUGCUCUAAAAUUUCUGCUGGACUUUUCUACAAUAACAUUAAGCAGCUAGUGGAGCUAAGACCAACUAUCCAUGCGAUGUAUCAGUCCUGAUGAAGCUGCAGCUGAUGAUCGACACGGUCUACCUGUGGCGUUCUGACGAACACGACCUUCUAUCGCAGUGAUUUGCACUCACCCACAUAUUC